GACGAACGCUGGCGGCGUGCUUAACACAUGCAAGUCGAACGGAAAGGCCCUGCUUGCAGGGUACUCGAGUGGCGAACGGGUGAGUAACACGUGGGUGAUCUGCCCUGCACUUCGGGAUAAGCUUGGGAAACUGGGUCUAAUACCGGAUAGGAACCAUCUUUAGUGUGGGGGUUGGAAAGUUUUUUCGGUGUAGGAUGAGCUCGCGGCCUAUCAGCUUGUUGGUGGGGUAAUGGCCUACCAAGGCGGCGACGGGUAGCCGGCCUGAGAGGGUGUACGGCCACAUUGGGACUGAGAUACGGCCCAGACUCCUACGGGAGGCAGCAGUGGGGAAUAUUGCACAAUGGGCGCAAGCCUGAUGCAGCGACGCCGCGUGGGGGAUGAAGGCCUUCGGGUUGUAAACUCCUUUCGCUAGGGACGAAGCUUUUUGUGACGGUACCUAGAUAAGAAGCACCGGCUAACUACGU
rnacentral:rRNA from 1 species